rnacentral:lncRNA from 1 species
CAGUAAUAUAGGCAGUAAUACAUAUACGAGUGCAGUAGACACAUGUACAAAUACAAACUGCAAUUUACGCUACCAUAAUAAUCACUACAGCAAUAUAAGUAACAUCAGUAACAUCAGUAAAUAUAAUAAUAUUUAUGUCACAAUUAUAAGCAGAAUAUACGAUUUCACUCAACGAUGUCCUUUAUAUUAUGAACCAAAUUUAAAACUGUUUCCAUUUUACUUACAUAAUAAAAAAAAAAAUUCUACAAAUCAGAAUAUUUCAAAUAAUGCAUUAAGUGAUACAACAAACUUUGAUCAGUGUAAGGAUUCAUAUAACGACGAUGUAAUUAACAUUUUUAAAAACAAUAAAAAUUGCCACUACUUUUUUGAAAAUUUACAGUUCAACAUAGAUAAUCAGUUUUUUUAAACAAUGUUUAAAGAAAUGUGAUACCUUGAAAAAACCAAUUGAAUUAGGAGUUAUUGAAGAAGAUGUUAUAGAUAGUGGUAUUAAAAACAAUAAUAAUAAUAAUAAUAAUACUAACAUUAGUAAUAAUAAUAAUAGUACUAACAUUAGUAAUAAUAAUAAUAAUAAUAAUACUAACAUUAGUAAUAAUAAUAAUAAUANNNNNNNNNNUAAUAAUAAUAAUAAUAAUACUAACAUUAGUAAUAAUAAUAAUAAUAAUAAUACUAACAUUAGUAAUAUUAUUAAUGGAACUACAAUUGUUAGUGAUACAUAUAAUAGUGAUUGCAGUUACAAUAGUACCAUAAAUGAUAGUCUCGAUAAUUCAUGGUUAACGGAAAAAAAACAAUUUUUAAAUACAUUUAAUAGUUCUUCUGAAAAUAAAGAAAAUGUUUUAAAAUGUAUAGAUGAAUUUUAUUACAUUGCAAUCGAUUUUGAUAAAACAAUUAUAAAAACAGAUUCGUAUAACUUUUUUUUUAAGUUAUUAAUUGAAGAGUAUUAUGGUAAUUGUAGUAGUACAAGUAAUAAUAACAAUAAUAAUACUAUCCCUACUGUAGGUACAUGUAUUACAACAUUUACAGAUAACAAACAAAUAAUACUAACAGAAGAUGAGAUAAAUUUUUUUGACAGUUUUACUAUAGAUAAAAUGAAAAAUAAAAAAGAACACACAAUUGAAGAAAGAGUUUUAUAUUUUAAUAAAAUUUCUGAAUGGUUUAGUUUGAAAGAAAAAAAGGUUUUAAAAGAAUUAGAACAACAAGAUAAAAUAGAAACAGUAUAUUCAGAUUCUUAUUACCACUACCUUAAUGCAAUUGAUAAAAUACAUGUAAACUUUACUAUGUUAAUAUCUUAUUAUGAUGUAUUAAAAGGUGUUGAUUUUGAUUUAAUGAAUAAAAUAAUAAAUGAAAAUUAUGAAAACUUUCAAUUAAAUGAAUAUUUUUUAAACGUAUUUUUAAACUUAAUUAAUUACAAACAACAAAAUAUGAAAACAUUUUAUUUCGAUGUUAUAACAUUAAAUUUUAAAAAACAAAUUUGUCUAAACACAUUGAAUCAGAA